CCGACAGCUACCGAGGAAAAACAGCGAACGAAAGAGAGAGGAGGAGGAGGAGGAAGAGGAGGAGAAAUAGGGAGAGGGAGAAAAAGAAGGAGCAUCACUUAAAGAAGAGCGAGAAGUUGCUGCAGGACUGGCCCUGCAGACAGCCAGGCCUCGGCAAAAGACAGCAGCGAGGAUGACAAACGGGGGGCGGGGAGGAGAAGCUCCAUGUCACUCUGCAAAACCAAAACCAAAACCAAAAGAAUACCAAAAAACACCCCAUCGGGAUGCGGCGCGGGGACGGCUCUCCAAUAGCCCGAGGAAGACCUCGCACUUUGCAUCGCUUUCCUUGCUCUGCUUUGGGGCAGCCGAACGCACCCCGCACAGGGAAAUCCACACAAAUGCAUAUAGGUGGGUGUGCACAGAUGAGUGUGAAAGCACGUGCGGCUUGCAAAAACACGCGUGCACGCGAUGCCUUGUGCAAAUGAUGUGGGUGUGCACUGCGCGUGGAGCGCGUCUGAGCGCAGAAUUAUAGAGAUGGGUGAAUAUUCCCGAGUCCUUCUGUCUGUACAGACGGCACAUCACAAAAACCCCCACUUCGUGAGUGUGCAAAUAGCGAGAUGGUCGUGCACACUCGCACAGCAGCACUCGGGCCCCGUCCGUUACACACACCCGUGACUAUUUACAUCCUCCUCCAUGCUUUACGCCCACAUUUUGGGUGCGUGCAGGCAUAAAUCCGCCCCCACCUUCAGCACAGCGUUAGUGCCGAUCUCUCCCCCGGGUGCGUGCAAACUCGUGCACACCCAAAGGCAC
rnacentral:lncRNA from 1 species